CACCAAGGCGACGACGGGUAGCCGGCUGAGAGGGUGACCGGCCACACUGGAACUGAGACACGGUCCAGACUCUACGGGAGGCAGCAGUGGGGAAUAUUGCACAAUGGGCGCAAGCCUGAUGCAGCAACGCCGCGUGAGGGAUGAAGGCUUCGGGUUGUAAACCUCUUUUAGCAGGGAAGAAGCGAAAGUGACGGUACCUGCAGAAAAAGCACCGGCUAACUACGUGCCAGCAGCCGCGGUAAUACGUAGGGUGCAAGCGUUGUCCGGAAUUAUUGGGCGUAAAGAGCUCGUAGGCGGUUUGUCGCGUCUGCUGUGAAAACUGGAAGCUCAACUUCCAGCCUGCAGUGGGUACGGGCAAACUAGAGUGCGGUAGGGGAGAACGGAAUUCCUGGUGUAGCGGUGGAAUGCGCAGAUAUCAGGAGGAACACCGAUGGCGAAGGCAGUUCUCUGGGCCGUUACUGACGCUGAGGAGCGAAAGCGUGGGGAGCGAACAGGAUUAGAUACCCUGGUAGUCCACGCCGUAAACGGUGGGUGCUAGCUGUGGGCCACAUUCCACGUGGUCCGUGACGAAGUUAACACAUUAAGCACCCCGCCUGGGGAGUACGGCCGCAAGGCUAAAACUCAAAGGAAUUGACGGGGGCCCGCACAAGCGGCGGAGCAUGCGGAUUAAUUCGAUGCAACGCGAAGAACCUUACCAAGGCUUGACAUGUAGAGGAAAAGUGCAGAAAUGUACUCCCCGUAAGGUCUCUACACAGGUGGUGCAUGGUUGUCGUCAGCUCGUGUCGUGAGAUGUUGGGUUAAGUCCCGCAACGAGCGCAACCCUCGUCCUAUGUUGCCAGCACGUAAUGGUGGGAACUCAUGGGAUACUGCCGGGGUCAACUCGGAGGAAGGUGGGGAUGACGUCAAAUCAUCAUGCCCCUUAUGUCUUGGGCUUCACGCAUGCUACAAUGGCCGGUACAGAGGGCUGCAAUACCGUAA
rnacentral:rRNA from 1 species